CCUACGGGAGGCUGCAGUGAGGAAUAUUGGUCAAUGGCCGGAAGCCUGAACCAGCCAAGCCGCGUGAAGGACGACGGUCCCAAGCAUUGUAAACCUCUUUUGCCGGGGAGCAAAAACCGGUUCGCGUACCGCACCGAGAGUACUCGAAGAAAAAGCAUCGGCUAACUCCGUGCCAGCAGCCGCGGUAAUACGGAGGAUGCGAGCGUUAUCCGGAUUUACUGGGGUUAAAGGGUGCGCAGGCGGCGAUGUAAGUCCGCAGGGAAAGGCGGGGGCCCAACCCCCGCAAAGCUUUGGAAACUGUAUGGCUAGAGUGCAGGAGAGGUAUGUGGAAUGCGUGGUGUAGCGGUGAAAUGCGUAGAUAUUAGGAAGAACACCAAUGGCGAAGGCAGCAUACUGGAGUGUAACUGACAUUCAGGCACGAAAGCGUGGGUAUCGAACAGGAUUAGAUACCCGAGUAGUC
rnacentral:rRNA from 1 species